rnacentral:rRNA from 1 species
GCGGGGCGUCCGAAGUCGCUGAGCAAACCGCAAGGAGGGCGCUUACCACGGUGGGAUUCAUGACUGGGGUGAAGUCGUAACAAGGUAGCCGUAGGUGAACCUGCAGAAGGAUCA